rnacentral:rRNA from 1 species
AAAAUAUCCGCCAGAGAACUACGAGCAAAACGCUUAAAACUCUAAGGACUUGGCGGUACCUUAAACCCCCCUAGAGGAGCCUGUUCUAUAAUCGAUAAUCCACGAUCUACCUCACCAUCUCUUGCCAAUACCGCCUAUAUACCGCCGUCACCAGCCUACCCUAUGAAGGAUAUAAAAGUAGGCAAAAUCGCACAACAGCUAACAAGUCAGGUCAAGGUGUAGCUUACUGAGAUGGAAGAAAUGGGCUACAUUUUCUAAACUAGAAAUCAUUUCACGGAAAGAACUAUGAAACAAGUUCUAUAAGCAGGAUUUAGCAGUAAAUAGGGAUCAGAAUGCCCAAUUUAAGCCGGUCCUAAGGUACGCACACACCGCCCGUCACCCUCU